rnacentral:rRNA from 1 species
UACAACAUAGCAUUAAUGCGCCAGAUCCCAUUAGAACUCCACAGUUAAGCGCACUCAGGCUAGAGUAGUAUGAGUGACCGCCCGUGAAGUCCUAGUGUUUUAC